rnacentral:rRNA from 1 species
GAUCAGGUAGGAAUACCCGCUGAACUUAAGCAUUCAU